ensembl:lncRNA
AGAGACCUGGAAGUUGCUGCGGGGCCUGCGGGAGUGCUGAGGGGUGAUGAGCUGCAGAAUCAGGCUCCUCCCAAGCAGCAAUGCACUGUCUUGAACUCCAACAUCAAAGUGUUUCUUCGACCUCGCCUCCAUCCGAACACCCAUCUCUUUCAGGACCAUAAGCAGCUCUGCUCCUCGUCUCCCACGCUGUGGACAGGGAUCCCUGGUAGGCACUGUUUUCUCUGUCCCUAGGAUGCCCAGGUCCUUCGGCUGCAGGCUCCCGUCACCCAGCCCUUGCUCCCUGCACAGGGUGGUACUCAGUGAAUGUGUGGUGGCUCUUCGUGGGAAGAGAGGGCAGAAGAAAACCUGUCCCCUCCACUUGCUUUCCUGCUGUGGCUUUUCUCAGCUCAAGUGCUUCCCUUCCCAACUGACCACAUAUGAGGCCUCACUUUGUGCUCCAUCCAUUCAAAACCAAGCGUCCAAAUGAUGCUCCCUUGGGGAUUUUCUUUAGAACAAAGACAGUUUUCAUCAGCACUCUUUUCUCCAGCUCCUGGGCUCUUUCACCUUUCGUGAACUGAGCCCCCUUCUGAAGUAAGGCAUGGGCACCCCGAAUGGAAAUGGCUGGAUUAAUGCGCAUGCAUGUCCACACUGGUGCAGGGCACCUGCUUUUCUGGGACAAUUGCCAUCUGGAAUCAGACGCCUUCCUCAUUGUGUGCCUAUUUCUGGACAAAGAAAAGGAGAACUGGAUGAGAAGCAGGCCUCCUCUCCCACAUCCUCCAGCCGCCUGGCAGGCCCAACUAAGACACCCGCUCCAGCUCAGGUGGUUUACGUGGCUCUAGUGAGUGGAGCAAUUGUGGCGUUUCACCCCAACCUUCUGCAUAGCAGCAUUAGCAGAUCAGACACUCAGGUGUGGGACAACAUGUCCUGAAAGGCAUCUCUGGGUUCCCCCUCCAGGGCCUUGGGUGCUGCCCUGCCUGCUCUGCUGAUGGCUGCCUACUGCCCCCCCCCACCACCAGAGCAGCAGAGUUCCCCUCAGUAGCUUUCAGGGGCUGGAAGGAAAGUGGGACGCCUCUCCCGGCAGGUAAGGCUACCAUUGGUCUCCUGGCUCUCGGUGGGCCGGGGGCCCAUCCCUGGAUAGCAGCUGUGGGGAAAGACAUGGCUCUGGAGUUGGAGAUGGGAGUCAGAUGCUGAGACCUCCAAUAAUGUCCAUUUGUGGAGGCUUUACUAUUUAUAACAUUUUUGUUUUCUACGAUGAAUAGAUAAUGCUUUUAGAACAGAAAAGUGAAACGUAAAUCAACUCCACUAGAAACAGGAAGCUCAAAAUUUAGAUCGGACCAAGUCUUUCCACCUAGGGCAGGUCUAGAGAUAGAAGAAAGACUGAUGCUUUUGGCAGGAGAGGAAAUGGAGGUGAGGGGGCUGUGCUGGAGAAGUCAGCACCUGCUGGGGGGCGGGGGAGGGCGGGGUAGAAUUUCAGUUCUGCUCUGAAUCUUUCCUUAGAAUACAAUAAAAUAUUUUCACGUAAGAUACUGGUCUGGAGGGCAGGCAUGGUGGCUCAUGCCUGUAAUUCCAGCACUUUGGGAGGUCAGGGCUGGUGGAUCAUCUGAAGUCAGGAGUUCCAGACCAGCUUGACCAACAUGGUGAAACCCCACCUCUACUAAAACUGCAAAAAUUAGCCGGGUGUGGUGGCGCAUGCCUGUAGUCCCAGCUACUCAGGAGGCUGAAGCAGGAGAAAUACCUGAACCCGGGAGGCAGAGGUUGCAAUGAGCCAAGAUCAUGUCAUUGUACUCCAGCCUGGGCAACAAGAGUGAAACUCUGUCUCGGCUGGAGGGGGCAGUGCGGUGGGGUGGGGGGCGCGUAGGGAGAAAAGAUACUGGUCUGGAGUGAUUUAUUUUAGAAAUAUCAGAUUCUGUCAAGUUUUUAUGUAUUGUCUUUGGGAGUGAUUGUACAAAUAGUGCAAUGUUUUGAAUAAUCCAAGAUCUAAAUGCAAACACAAUUUAAUAAAAUUAGAGACAAGGAAAACU